rnacentral:tRNA from 1 species
GAAUAUGAAGCGAUAUAUUGCACUUAGUUUCGACCUAAUCUUAGGUAAUUUUA